rnacentral:snRNA from 1 species
AAACAAAUCAAAAAUUUUG